UUUUUUUUUUUGUUUUCUCUCAUACGCUCCUCACUACUCAUAUCCUCUCUACCCGGUACUUCCACACCACCACCACCACCAUUUUUCACCAUUAUUUUCCGGCAUGAUCACUGAAAAAUUCUUGUGAACCCAUAAGUACCUUCACAUCUUUUAUUUGAGAGUAGGCAACAGCUUUUUGAGACAGCUUUUUGGUGGCUAAUAGUAGUUAGACUAACUACUGAUGGAGGUUGAACUUUUGUAAUGGGUAUAUUAGAUGGUGUACAUCUUAGAAUAGGCUUGACUCAUUCUUUUGUAUAUUAUAGUGGUUGUAACGUUAUUCCCACUGAUGGGACAAGCUGAUGAUAUGUAAUUAAUUAUUCAGACCUCUA